rnacentral:rRNA from 1 species
AACGAACGCUGGCGGCAUGCCUAACACAUGCAAGUCGAACGAGACCUUCGGGUCUAGUGGCGCACGGGGGCGUAACGCGUGGGAACCUGCCCUUAGGUUCGGAAUAACUCCCCGAAAGGGGUGCUAAUACCGGAUAAUGUCUUCGGACCAAAGAUUUAUCGCCUUUGGAUGGGCCCGCGUUGGAUUAGCUAGUUGGUAGGGUAAAAGCCUACCAAGGCGACGAUCCAUAGCUGGUCUGAGAGGAUGAUCAGCCACACUGGGACUGAGACACGGCCCAGACUCCUACGGGAGGCAGCAGUGGGGAAUAUUGGACAAUGGGCGAAAGCCUGAUCCAGCAAUGCCGCGUGAGUGAUGAAGGCCUUAGGGUUGUAAAGCUCUUUUACCCGGGAUGAUAAUGACAGUACCGGGAGAAUAAGCCCCGGCUAACUCCGUG